CACCUGAUGUCCUGGCAGACCGUCAGGCAGGGCACUCAUGUACCUUCGUGCUGCUUUGCUGCCCAGUGCCAAGGGACUGGACUUCUACAGCAGCGUGCUUUGCACAAUCAGACAGGGAUAGUAGCAUCAUCCAGCACCGACUCCUUCCCUCCCACUCCUGGUCUGUUUCCAUACGCAGUGCUCACGCAACGUGAUUUCUACAUUAAACGGGCCCUUAUGUGAAAGCGUUCUCAGCUUUCAAGUUGAGGUUUAAAAAUCCAACACGGAACGGAUGAAGUGAAACGUUUAUUUUGGACAGCGCUCCGACAAAGGGGAGGAAACCCCUCGCUGCGGGAUGGCAGCCGCGGGUCAGAGGCGUGCAAGCAGCCGUUACCGCCAUCCAGAGGAGAGCAGCCAUCGGCCGCCAGAUUCCAUUUUGUUGUGUGCGUGGAAAGGAGAACCCAACCGCUUGGUCUGGCUGGUGCUGAGGGGUCCCGGAGCAGAAAAACAACAUCCAAAAUGACAACCAGUUUCAUACGGCCUGUUUUUUAAACAUGAAAUCCGAACAAAAGCAAACUUUUGCUAGAGAUCUGCGUUCGAAGCUGACGGGAGCACUACUGAGAUGUAAGGAGCUGCGUUGGCCAGUACUCAAAAGACUGGAUGUAGUUUCCCACCACAUCUGUCCAAGCAAAUCCGUGCAAACUUUGAGCAAGUUUGGCAAGAAGCAUCCCGGUUUUGUUUUUACAGCCCUAAGAAGGAAGGGGAAAACUCCCUUGUGUGUUGGGUAUCCCAUGAAAUGGGUGAAAUGUGCUAAAAUGUGUUUAUGUGCUUUAAGACAAUCAUAAAUCAGGACAACUCCUUGAAGACAAUCUAAGGUAAACUCAGGCUUAAAGUGCAAGGAUCCCUCGUGUCACUGGUUUCAACUAGAGGAUACUGGUGUAUCUCAUACCUGUGUGCUAUGAGAAUAUUCAAUAUGAGAAACUUGAUGUGAAACAGAGGCAGCCAAUUGGAGCAGUGCUUCAGACUAAGCUGAGGUAAGAACCAUGGAUGCUUAGUUCCAGAAUUCUUCAGAAUUAAUUCUUCAAAAUAAUUUUAAUGGAAAUAAGUUCAACAGUGAGUUCCAUCUUCCAUGAUAAUGCAAGGGACUAACAGCAGUAAUGCUGGAUGACAAUAAGGCUCUAUAUGUCUGAGGCAUUUGGGUUACUCAGAGUGGACGUCUAAAAUUGUCUCAAACAGUUCUGCCUUUUGCAGAGCUCUCUGUAAUCUACCUCUUGUGGCCGUUUUACAUGCAAAAAUUUUGAUUUAAACCUGAAAAACUAACCUCAAAGAGUCCAGGUGGGUUCCUUAUCUUUCCUCGAGCUCAGCAGAGGGUGAAAAAGCCACUGGUAGAGCCCUCAGGCUGCUGAUCUGUGUGCCUGCAGCUUCCUUGCACCUCUGGCAGACAAGAAACAGUUCAGUAAUUUUCAUUAUCUUUUCAGUGUCUUUGUGAGGCUACUUGAAAUGCAGCCAAGGAAUGGGUAUGAUGGAGAUACCAUGGUAGGCAGAAAACUAACUUAGGCUUUUCUGGAAUGAGUUUUCUUCCUAGUAUAUGGAAAACAUCAUCAAAGUUCCACUGUGUGAUUUCAGAAUUUGUAAUUACUUUGAACAAGGGAGAAAUCAGGAGAACAUGAUGGAUUCUAUUGUAGGAGACAUUUAAUGCCUUAUUUGGAACACUAUCCAGAUAUUUCAUCUGUAGUCUUCAUCAAGAGUAAAGUUUACAUGAGCUCAGCUAUCUGAAAAGAAUUAAAUUCUGGAACAUUUUCUUGGCUGCUAGACAUCUGAGAAAUGUAGAAGUGGCUGAUGCCAAACUACCUGCCAUGUGUGUACUUCCUUUAGACUUAUUUUUCUAAAUGAAAUGUAGAUACCACAAAGGAUAUUUGGAAUUGAGAAGGUGAGAUCAACUAGAUUUGGCUGUCUUAAAUGUGGUCUAUCUCUUAGCAAGUGUUCUUACAGUUGCUAUUAUAACUUUGCAGGAAAGUUUUUCUCAUUAGCAAUUGUCGUUUUACAUUUCCAGCACAGAAGAAUUAAAGAUAUUGGUGCAUGUUUCCAACCACCAUUUUAGAGUUUUAGCUAAAAAUCUCUCCUUGGAUAAUGGGGUUUAUACCACAGGCACCCAGUAUGC